UGGGGGAUAUUGCACAAUGGGCGAAAGCCUGAUGCAGCGACGCCGCGUGGGGGAUGAAGGCCUUCGGGUUGUAAACUUCUUUUGCUCUGAACAAGGCAUGCUAAUGGGUGUGUUGAGUGUAGGGGUUGAUUAGCGCCGGCUAACUACGUGCCAGCAGCCGCGGUAAUACGUAGGGCGCGAGCGUUGUCCGGAAUUAUUGGGCGUAAAGGGCUUGUAGGUGGCUGGUUGCGUCUGUCGUGAAAGCUCAUGGCUUAACUGUGGGUUUGCGGUGGGUACGGGCUGGCUUGAGUGCAGUAGGGGAGGCAGGAAUUCCUGGUGUAGCGGUGGAAUGCGCAGAUAUCAGGAGGAAUACCGGUGGCGAAGGCGGGUCUCUGGGCUGUUACUGACACUGAGGAGCGAAAGCAUGGGGAGCGAACAGG
rnacentral:rRNA from 1 species